rnacentral:rRNA from 1 species
AUACGGAGGGGGUUAGCGUUGUUCGGAAUUACUGGGCGUAAAGCGCACGUAGGCGGACUGAUCAGUUAGAGGUGAAAUCCCAGGGCGCAACCCUGGAACUGCCUUUAAUACUGUCAGUCUAGAGAUCGAGAGAGGUGAGUGGAAUUCCAAGUGUAGAGGUGAAAGUCGUAGAUAUUUGGAGGAACACCAGUGGCGAAGGCGGCUCACUGGCUCGAUACUGACGCUGAGGUGCGAAAGCGUGGGGAGCAAACAGGAUUAGAUACCCUAGUAGUCC